GCAGGAAAAACAGGAAGUCAGCCAGUGCCCCUACUCCUUAGGAACUCCCAAUAUGACAGAAAGUGUUUCUGAGCUUGAGAGCCGGGAAAGACCUCUCAGAGGAGAUGGAUGAGCGGAGCCUCGGAGGCUGGAGGACCAUACGAGACCCAGCAUGAUCUUGCCAUCAGGUGCUGUGACAACCUCUUAUGUCACAAGUGGGUCCUAUUGUUCCCAAGUUCCUCUCCCCUCCCAAGUCUGAGUCCUGGCAUCUCAUUAGUGCUCUGACCCCCUGGGGUGAGGAUCCAGGAGGGAGGUGGAUGCUGAGUUGCUAACGGACACUUAUUCUCCAGCAUUAGUGACUGCUGGGACAGGUUUUGCUAGGAAGGAGACAAAGAAGCGGAGAGCAGGGCCGGGGAAGUGGCAUAAUGGUUAAGAGCCCUUUGGAACUCUCAAGGACACCGUACACUCUCCCCUCCCUUUCCUCUAUUGUCUGUGACAAGAAGGGGAGAAUGACAGCAGGUUGGUGAGGACUAGCCUCAGUGUCCUGCUCUUCGUGACAGCCUUCUGAAGUCACUUCAUGUCCCACACCUCUGCUGCCUCCUGUAGAACGCAGACAGCAACACCAGCCCCUUGAGCUUUUGUGAGGAUCAUCAGGUAGCAUGCUCAGUGCUGGGGGUAGAAGAGAGCCUCAGUAGAUACAGGUCGAACUGAACUGAAGACACUAGCAAGGUGGCACGGUGUGGUAUGUUGAAAAGGAAUCCUUCCGCUGCAGCGCUGCUCGUAUCCUGCAAGAGGCGGACUUGUCAUCUCAUCCUCAGCGGAGCCGGGGCUAGGAUUGGCACGGGGGGAUGGGGGAAGCACGAAGGAAAAACAGCCCCACGCGUCACUCACAUAUUUACAUCGCAACUGUCAAAAUAGUUAUUUUUA